UGCAGUGAGCCAAGAUCACACCAUUGCACUCCAGCCUGGGCAUCAGAGUGAGACUCGAUCUCAAAAAAAGAAAAAACUAGUGUCUUCCUGUGGCUGACCAUGGUGGCCAUCACCUGUAGUCUCAACUACUCUGCAGGCUGAGGUAGGAGGAAUCACUUGAGCCCAACAGGUCGAGGCUGUGGUACACUAUGAUCAUUCCUGUGAACAGCUACUGAACUCUAGCCUGGGCAACAUAGUGAGGACCCAUCUCUUUAAAAACAAACAAACAAAAAAAGG